rnacentral:rRNA from 1 species
GGGCCCGCACAAGCGGUGGAGUAUGUGGUUUAAUUCGAUGCAACGCGAAGAACCUUACCAGGGUUUGACAUCCUGCGAAUCUCUUGGAAACAGGAGAGUGCCUUCGGGAACGCAGUGACAGGUGGUGCAUGGCUGUCGUCAGCUCGUGUCGUGAGAUGUUGGGUUAAGUCCCGCAACGAGCGCAACCCACGUCUUUAGUUGCCAGCAUUUAGUUGGGCACUCUAGAGAGACUGCCGGUGAUAAACCGGAGGAAGGUGUGGAUGACGUCAAGUCAUCAUGCCCCUUACAUCCUGGGCUACACACGUACUACAAUGGCAACUACAGUGGGAAGCAAGACCGCGAGGUGGAGCAAAUCCCCAAAAGUUGCCUCAGUUCGGAUUGUACUCUGCAACUCGAGUACAUGAAGUUGGAAUCGCUAGUAAUCGGAUAUC